AGUGAACGCUGGCGGUAGGCCUAACACAUGCAAGUCGAACGGCAGCACAGUAAGAGCUUGCUCUUACGGGUGGCGAGUGGCGGACGGGUGAGUAAGACAUCGGAAUCUACUUUUUCGUGGGGGAUAACGUAGGGAAACUUACGCUAAUACCGCAUACGACCUACGAGUGAAAGCAGGGGAUCUUCGGACCUUGCGCGAUUGAAUGAGCCGAUGUCGGAUUAGCUAGUUGGCGGGGUAAAGGCCCACCAAGGCGACGAUCCGUAGCUGGUCUGAGAGGAUGAUCAGCCACACUGGAUGUGAGACACGGUCCAGACUCCUACGGGAGGCAGCAGUGGGGAAUAUUGGACAAUGGGCGCAAGCCUGAUCCAGCCAUACCGCGUGGGUGAAGAAGGCCUUCGGGUUGUAAAGCCCUUUUGUUGGGAAAGAAAAGCAGCAGGUUAAUACCCCGCUGUUCUGACGGUACCCAAAGAAUAAGCACCGGCUAACUUCGUG
rnacentral:rRNA from 1 species